rnacentral:rRNA from 1 species
GACGUAGGUGGCGAGCGUUAUUCGGAAUCAUUGGGCGUAAAGGGUCCGUAGGAGGCCGGCUAAGGCUGAGGUGAAAGGUCAAGGCUCAACCUUGACAGGUCCUUGGCGACUGGCACGGCUAUCGAGGGUCGGAGAGGAGCGUGGAAUUCCCGGUGUAGCGGUGGAAUGCGUGGAUAUCGGGAGGAACGCCAACAGCGAAGGCAGCGCUCUGGACGAUACCUGACUCUGAAGGACGAAAGCGUGGGGAGCAAACAGGAUUAGAUACCCUGGUAGUCCACGCUGUAAACGGUGUGCACUCGGUGUGGGGUGGUUUGGCCCAUUCUGCGCCUGAGCUAACGCGUUAAGUGCACCGCCUGGGGAGUACGGCCGCAAGGCUA